rnacentral:rRNA from 1 species
UACGAAGGGUGCAAGCGUUAGUCGGAAUUACUGGGCGUAAAGGGUGCGUAGGCGGUUCGUUAAGUCUGUCGUGAAAUCCCCGGGCUCAACCUGGGAAUGGCGAUGGAUACUGGCGAGCUAGAGUGUGUCAGAGGAUGGUGGAAUUCCCGGUGUAGCGGUGAAAUGCGUAGAUAUCGGAAGGAACAUCAGUGGCGAAAGCGACUUCCUGGACCAAUACUGACGCUCAUGUGCGAAAGCGUGGGGAGCAAACAGG